AGUGAACGCUGGCGGUAGGCCUAACACAUGCAAGUCGAACGGCAGCACAGUAAGAGCUUGCUCUUACGGGUGGCGAGUGGCGGACGGGUGAGGAAUACAUCGGAAUCUACUUUUUCGUGGGGGAUAACGUAGGGAAACUUACGCUAAUACCGCAUACGACCUACGGGUGAAAGCAGGGGAUCUUCGGACCUUGCGCGAUUGAAUGAGCCGAUGUCGGAUUAGCUAGUUGGCGGGGUAAAGGCCCACCAAGGCGACGAUCCGUAGCUGGUCUGAGAGGAUGAUCAGCCACACUGGAACUGAGACACGGUCCAGACUCCUACGGGAGGCAGCAGUGGGGAAUAUUGGACAAUGGGCGCAAGCCUGAUCCAGCCAGACCGCGUGGGUGAAGAAGGCCUGCGGGUUGUAAAGCCCUUUUGUUGGGAAAGAAAAGCAGCAGGUUAAGACCCCGCUGUUCGGACGGUACCCAAAGAAGAAGCACCGGCGAACUGCGU
rnacentral:rRNA from 1 species